rnacentral:rRNA from 1 species
GAUGAACGCUGGCGGCGUGCCUAAUACAUGCAAGUCGAGCGAACAGACGAGGAGCUUGCUCCUCUGACGUUAGCGGCGGACGGGUGAGUAACACGUGGAUAACCUACCUAUAAGACUGGGAUAACUUCGGGAAACCGGAGCUAAUACCGGAUAAUAUAUUGAACCGCAUGGUUCAAUAGUGAAAGACGGUUUUGCUGUCACUUAUAGAUGGAUCCGCGCCGCAUUAGCUAGUUGGUAAGGUAACGGCUUACCAAGGCAACGAUGCGUAGCCGACCUGAGAGGGUGAUCGGCCACACUGGAACUGAGACACGGUCCAGACUUCUACGGGAGGCAGCAGUAGGGAAUCUUCCGCAAAGGGCGAAAGCCUGACGGAGCAACGCCGCGUGAGUGAUGAAGGUCUUCGGAUCGUAAAACUCUGUUAUUAGGGAAGAACAAAUGUGUAAGUAACUAUGCACGUCUUGACGGUACCUAAUCAGAAAGCCACGGCUAACUACGUG